AUCUUGCGGAAAGCAGGAACCCCUCUCGCCCUCUCCUAAUCGCUUUCUCGUCUCUAUGGUUGAUGUAGAACCGUCCUCCAUAGGACGUCUUGGAUUGGUCAACCCAAAGACAACUAUAGAGUCACAUGGUUAAUAUCUGAUCAGUUAUUGGCUGCUUUCGGUUAAGCCCACCCCUUUGCUCUCCCCUCCGGUUUUAACCCGCGGCCCGCGCGAGCGUUCAGUCCUUUCGACUCGGCGCUGCUCUCUGGAUCCCGUGUGUGUCCUGCCGUCGCGACGGAACCGUUCUGCGCACGCGCGCCUCCACAUCCUCCGUCAGUGCUCCCCCUUGUGUAAAAGCUCCCAAUAAAAAAUUCCCAAAGUCUCA